GUCGAACGGUGAACUUGGAGCUUGCUCCAAGGGAUCAGUGGCGAACGGGUGAGUAACACGUGAGUAACCUGCCCCAGACUCUGGAAUAAGCGCUGGAAACGGCGUCUAAUACCGGAUACGAGACAGAGAGGCAUCUCUACUGUCUGGAAAGUUUUUCGGUCUGGGAUGGACUCGCGGCCUAUCAGCUUGUUGGUGAGGUAAUGGCUCACCAAGGCGACGACGGGUAGCCGGCCUGAGAGGGCGACCGGCCACACUGGGACUGAGACACGGCCCAGACUCCUACGGGAGGCAGCAGUGGGGAAUAUUGCACAAUGGGCGAAAGCCUGAUGCAGCGACGCCGCGUGAGGGAUGACUGCCUUCGGGUUGUAAACCUCUUUCAGCAGGGAAGAAGCGAAAGUGACGGUACCUGCAGAAGAAGCACCGGCUAACUACGUGCCAGCAGCCGCGGUAAUACGUAGGGUGCGAGCGUUGUCCGGAAUUAUUGGGCGUAAAGAGCUUGUAGGCGGUUUGUCGCGUCUGCUGUGAAAAUCCGGGGCUCAACCCCGGACUUGCAGUGGGUACGGGCAGACUAGAGUAUGGUAGGGGAGACUGGAAUUCCUGGUGUAGCGGUGAAAUGCGCAGAUAUCAGCAGGAAC
rnacentral:rRNA from 1 species